rnacentral:lncRNA from 1 species
GUGAGUCUCGUUUCACCAAAGGAUAGUCAGCCUUCUCUCUGGUGAUUUUAGGUUGCUGCAAUGAGUGAGUUUGUGCGUGGGCCCUUUAAGACCCGGGUCUUUUCGGCUUUCGGAGAUAGCUUUUCUGGGGGUGUCCUCACUGCAGUUAACAGACAGCAAAGGCAGACAGUAAGACCCGGGUCUCAGUUGGGCUGAGUCCGAAAGAUGCUUAUAGCAGUAUCGCCCCAGCUCCGGACCUCACUCUUCCAGGGAGGGCUGCGUACCUUAGGUUGGCUCCCGCCUGGCCAGCUGAGAAGCUCCGCUGCUCCCAAAGGUGGCUUUUUUCCUCUCUGGUCGGAAUUACUGCCUCUUCUGCCUUCAUCAGGAGUGUCUCUUGUCAUGGGAGUUCUUUUUAUCCAGUUUCCAGUUUUCAAUCCAGGGUAAUUCUUCCAAAAAUUGUUGCAACCUGGUUGUGUUCCUGGGAGGAGGCGAGUUCAACGUCUGCUCACGCCGCCAUCUUCCUUUCAGCCUCUGUGUGGUUUCUGUAUCCCGAAUGGACCCUGAAUGAUACACAACCUUGUGGAGUUUUGCAUCUAUCAAACUCAAUUAUACUCCAGGAAAACUGGUACGACGUGAUCAAAAGCUUGAAAGUAAUCUGCAUGAAGAAAGCUUGCAUGAUUGAGCUUGCUCCUGCUACCAGGAGCAGGAGGAUAGACAAGUGGAACAGAGACUAGUUGCUGUAGUCGAGCUCUGUCUAGGAUCUGUUGACCUCCUGACAAUCUUCAGGUGUGAGUGAGCCCAGACGAGAGCAGUUAAAUGGCUCAGCUGAGCCCAGCGUAAAUCAAUCUACCCACAGCCAUGAGGUGCCUGGAAACUGCCAGAGUCAGCAUCCAUGUGAUACAGAGCAAAACAGAACAAGAUGUCUUCACCGGAGACAAAGGAAAGCUGAUAAAAAUGAAUUAUGGGGAUAUUAAAAGACUAUAAAACCUCGAGUUUGUUGAAGCUUGUAUCUUUAAAUCUUUGAGCAGAGGAGAAACUGACGACUGCAAAGGGCUGUACGACUCAAGGACUGGGAAGCCAAGUGUAAAGGAGAACACGUCGAUUUCUGCUGUGGGGCAGAUGGCUUAUGGAUAUGGCAAAAAAUUAUGAAGUGAGAAGGUUAUCUACAAGGCUCACACAGCUGGCAAAUGACAUGGCCAUGACAAGAACCAAGACCUUCUGACUUUCUUGGACAUUCUGUUGGCUCUCCAAGAAUAACUGGCUUCCAGAAAAAGAAAGCUGGCUACAGUAUGAGCUGGGCGACAUGCCUUUUAGAGAAACAGGCCCACUGUGGAGUAAUAUUGAAGAUUUAAAGAACGUCCCAACUGCCAGUUCUAUGUGCUUUUUCAGGUAGUGUCCCUUGGGCUCUCCUGACUAAAAAGUGAAAAAUCAAAUGUAAGAUUCGGCGUCCCACAGUGGCUAAGUGCUCUGGGCAGGGAGUUGAGAGUCUCAGGUUCGAAUCCCCACUCGGCCUCUACUUAGGAUGAUAGAUUGGACAUUUAGACUGAGGAGCCACUGUAGAUGUGAAAUCCUAGAGUGAGCUGUGAGACAGACCUAGAACUGGUUCAGUGACUGACUUUCAACCAAGGUGUGAAGAUCAGAUCAACCAAAAUGGGGAGAGCUUCCAUGGAGCUCGCAGGAGUCCAAGAGCCACGCCAAACUGAGCAAACUGUGUGGAGGAGCCCUGACUUCAACCCUAAGACUGGAGCAUGAAUCCCACAAGUUCAGCUUGGCCUCACCAAUUUGCAGCUGGACUGAAUACCUAGGAACAAUUAUUUGGGGGUGGUUUGUCAUGCAGCAUUAUUGCAGCAAUAGCUGACUGAUACAAGCUCACACUUAAAAAGCGGAGCAAGAAGAGUCAAAGGGUGGAGAAGAGAUGGCCUUCUCUUCCUUCCCUGACCAGAAGGUCAUAUUUCUGCCACCCUUCUGGUUGCAAAGGGACGAAAUUCAUCUACCACAGUAAUGAUUAUCUUAAUGCUUUGAAGUCCUUUCUUUCUGGUUUGCGUUCUUUGCCUUCAUCUUCCUUCUCUCCUUUUCUUCCUUCCUUCCUUCAUUCUUUACCUCUCUAUGUUCUUUCACUGUUGAACCCUUACAUUUUGUUGGAUACUAGGAAUAUAAAACAAAUAAAAUCCAUCUUCUGGUUUAAUUGGGGGAGACUGUAAACAAAUAAUUGAUCUGCGUGGAAGAGUUUCCAUAAUAAAGUUGUAUACAGAAGGUAGUUUUAUAUAGAAAAAAAGGGAGAAGUCAGCGGUGGGUAUUGCUGCUGACAGUCACUGGACACCUGUGCCAGGCCCUGUGCUAGGAGCAGAGUUGAACAAGGACACAGUCCCUGCCCUUGCUCCCUUCCUUCCAGCUGUUUGGAGUCUAGUUACUUCACUUCUGUGAUUGCACUACACUGUCUCUACUCUGGGUUCUUC